rnacentral:rRNA from 1 species
AUUGAACGCUGGCGGCAUGCCUUACACAUGCAAGUCGAACGGCAGCACGGGGGCAACCCUGGUGGCGAGUGGCGAACGGGUGAGUAAUGCAUCGGAACGUGCCCAGUAGUGGGGGAUAACCAGUCGAAAGACUGGCUAAUACCGCAUACGACCCAAGGGUGAAAGCGGGGGACCGUAAGGCCUCGCGCUAUUGGAGCGGCCGAUGUCUGAUUAGCUAGUUGGCGGGGUAAGAGCCCACCAAGGCGACGAUCAGUAGCUGGUCUGAGAGGACGACCAGCCACACUGGGACUGAGACACGGCCCAGACUCCUACGGGAGGCAGCAGUGGGGAAUGUUGGACAAUGGGCGCAAGCCUGAUCCAGCCAUGCCGCGUGCGGGAAGAAGGCCUUCAGGUUGUAAACCGCUUUUGGCAGGAACGAAACGGCGCAGGCCAAUACCCUGUGUGGAUGACGGUACCGGAAUAAGAAGCACCGGCUAACUACGUGCCAGCCGCCGCGGUAAAAC